AGCAGCCACGGUAAUACAGAGGGUGCGAGCGUUAAUCGGAUUUACUGGGCGUAAAGCGUGCGUAGGCGGCUUCUUAAGUCGGAUGUGAAAUCCCUGAGCUUAACUUAGGAAUUGCAUUCGAUACUGGGAAGCUAGAGUAUGGGAGAGGAUGGUAGAAUUCCAGGUGUAGCGGUGAAAUGCGUAGAGAUCUGGAGGAAUACCGAUGGCGAAGGCAGCCAUCUGGCCUAAUACUGACGCUGAGGUACGAAAGCAUGGGGAGCAAACAGGAUUAGAUACCCCAGUAGUCCCUGUCUCUUAUACA
rnacentral:rRNA from 1 species